UGUUUUUUUUUGUUUUUUUUUCUUUCACCGCCUUGCUUGGGGAAGCAAUCAACAAAAAGCAUCCGGGUUCAGCAGAGACUUCAAGUAUAAACAUAUAACAGCCUGCGGUGUUCAGUGUCAGUCAUUGCUGCAGACCUUUGACCCAGAUUCAGGAUGUCACGUGAUUCAUGCUGCUUAGGUAGAGAGAUCACCUGAAAAAUGAGGUGCUUUUAUUAAAUGACACCAGUGAUCCAAUCAACAGCUUGGACUGAUCAACGAGACCUCAUACAUUAACUUGCAUCAUAUGUCCAUGUUAGUUUACGAGUUUGACUAAAUUUACCAGGAAGCAGAUCAGUUUAAAUGUGCUGCGCCAAUAACUUUAAACCUAUCCUAGUUUUUUUCAUUUCUAAGUCUGAUUUUCUUGUAAUCUUUUAAAGUUCUUCUAUAUACUUUACGAAAGUCUCUUUUAGUGUGGUUAAAAAAGUGGAAAAGGAGCUGAUGGACGUCAGGUCUUUUACAAAAUAAAAAAAGGGAACAGCAAAGACCUGAAACAGGACCUGAGAUGUGAAUCCCUCUUCAGUUGAUCAUAUUCUAUAUCCUAAGAUCCCAAGCAGGCUGAUUCUAUCGAAUCAUUGACUUUGAAGCAAUACCUCCUCCUGAGCUACCAUGUGGUGACAGUAGAGACAAACAACUCCCUUUUAGCAGAAAGAAACCUCUGGUAGAACCUUCAGUAGUACCGAGUUGGACCCACUUUUAACUCCAGAGCUGCCGUAAUUCUUCAUGGCGUAGACUGUCGCAGCUAAAAUCAAGAGACAUCAGACCAACCUGUCAUUGUAGCCUGAGUUUUCUGUCCUGAGUAGGCUGGAGUGGCACCUGAUGUGGUGUUCUGCUGCUGUAGCUCAUCUUCUUUAAGACAUCUGGACCAGCCUACUCAUUCUCCUGUGACAUCAACAAGGCAUUUUUGUCUACAUGACUGCCACCAACAGGAUGUAAUCAAGUGCUGUGGCCCAACAAUCCUGCCGCGUUCAAUCACCUAAAUACCCUUUCUCCUCCAUUCUGAUGCCCACAUCUUAGAUGCCUGUUUGCAAUGAGUUGCUACCAUGUCACUGACUGGUUCACUAUUUGUGGUGUGCCUAAUAAAGUAGCUUGUGAGUGUAUUUCAAUCACAUGUACUUAUGUUUUGGUCAUGUAAGUGCAGUUAUAACAUGAGCAGUGCCAGAUAAACAGAGUCGUUGUUUGUUACCAGUAUUGUUUCUGCAAAACAUUUUCUGUGUAUCAAACCCAAGGGUAUGUUUACAAGAUCAAUCAAUGCAUCAAUCAAUUGGCCAGAGAUCAGAAUCAGACAAUUUUCCUAUUAAUUGGCUAAAACUUUUUCCCUAUUUAUUUCGGUCCAUAAACGCAUCAUCCAACAGUAUUUGCUUUGAUGCACUUUGAGCUUAAUAAAAAUGACAAAGUUUAAGGUUG